AUGAAUUUUAUCAGAAUAUGUUCACUGGUUUUGAAGUGUAGCAUGUGGAAUUACUUGAAGCUUACAUUUCUUCUCUUAUUCCCAGCAUCUUCGAUGCUCCCUGUUCUUCUGUUGCUUCUCUUGUCAUAUGUAUUCCAAGCGGCAUCAGUUAGAGCAUUCAAUAAUAGGACUGAUGUGGAUUCCUUGCUGGUGUUCAAGGCAAGCAUAAGCAACCAGCACGGUGUCCUAGCUGCAUGGAACACAAGUACAGACUUCUGCCAGUGGCCAGGCAUCGGUUGCAGCCUUAAGCAUAAGCACAGGGUCACAGUGCUUAACCUCUCUUCGGAGGUCCUUGGUGGCACGAUCGCACCUUCCAUUGGGAACCUCUCUUUCUUGAGAAUUCUAGAUCUCAGGCGGAACAAUCUGCAAGGUGAAAUACCUUCAUCCUUUGGUCGCCUGUCUCGCCUACGAUAUCUUAAUUUAUCCAACAACUCACUUCAUGGUGAUGUAAAUGAUAAAUUGAAGAAUUGCACCAGCCUUGAAAGAAUGCACAUUGGUUCAAACCGUUUGGCUGGAGAAAUCCCUGCUUGGCUCGGAGACUUGUUAAGUCUCAAAGUCAUAGACCUAGGCAGUAACAACUUCACUGGAAUCAUCCCGUCGUCACUUACCAAUCUCUCAGCAGUGCAAGCAAUCUAUUUCAACACAAACCAACUUGAGGGUGUCAUCCCUGAGGGCCUUGGCAGGCUUGGUGGCCUUGCCUACAUAGACUUGGGAGAAAAUUGCCUCUCAGGCACCAUCCCUACAGCUCUCUUGAACCAUUCCUCUCUAAUAGGCUUGGGUGUGGGAGCAAAUGAUUUGUGCGGUAAACUUCCCCCGGACUUUGGGGAUCAGCUCCCAAAUCUUGAGUACCUACUCCUUGGUGUUAACCACUUUACAGGAAACCUUCCAGCUUCUCUUGUCAACUCAACUAAGAUAUAUGAGCUAGAUGUCUCCUUCGACAACUUCACCGGAAUAUUGCCUCCAGAGAUUGGAAUGCUCUGCCUAGAACAACUCACUCUCGGAGCAAAUCAGUUCAUGGCAAAUACUGUGCAGGACUGGGAGUUCUUGACAUUGUUGACAAACUGCACACGCCUCCGUACAUUUAGCCUCCAGCUCAACAUGCUAGGUGGCAUGCUGCCUAUUUCAGUUGCCAACCUAUCAGCACAACUCGAAUUGCUAUAUGUUGGAGCCAAUGAGAUUUCUGGAAAAAUACCAUUUGGCAUAGGCAAUCUUGUUGGAUUAACUCAAUUGCAGCUAGCUAAUAACCAAUUUACUGGUUCCUUGCCUGACACCAUAGGGAGGCUAAAUUCGCUACAAACCCUGGAGUUGCAAAAUAACCUAGUGACAGGGUUCAUGCCAUCGUCUCUUGGGAACUUGACACAACUACUAAAUCUGUACACACACAACAACAUGUUUGAGGGGCCUCUUCCAACAAGCCUCGGGAGCCUACAAGAGAUAAUUUCAGCAACCUUCUCAAACAAUAAGUUCACAGGUCCAUUGCCUAAAGACAUCUUUAACCUAUCGUCACUGUCAGACGCCCUGGAUUUGUCUAGGAAUUACUUUGUUGGUUCCCUUCCACCAGAAGUAAGCGGCUUGACAAACCUUGCACACUUAUACUUAUCACGGAACAACUUGUCAGGGCCCCUACCUAAUACACUCAGCAACUGUCAAAGCUUGAUAGAACUUGGGCUGGACGAUAACUCCUUUGAUAGCAGCAUUCCCUCAUCUAUCAGCAACAUGCGAGGUCUGAUGUUGCUAAAUCUUACAAAGAACAUGCUUUCAGGUGUUAUUCCUAAAGAUCUAGGGCUAAUGAGUGGCCUUCAAGAGUUAUACCUAGCAUGCAACAACUUGUCUGGUCAUAUCCCAGAAAGCUUGGAAAACAUGGCAUCAUUGUACCAGUUAGACCUGUCAUUCAACCAUUUGGAUGGCAAAGUUCCAUCAUGGGGAGUGUUCAGUAAUGCAUCUGGGUUUUCGUUUGGUGGGAAUUUGGGGCUUUGUGGUGGUCUACCAGAUUUACAUUUGCCCCCAUGCCAGCCGGAAUCCGUGGGACAUGGCUUGAGCAAACGCCAUUUGACUAUGAUCCUAGUUACUGCAAUUGCUGGCAUAAUUCUUGCUUUGAGUUUGGUGCUUGUUUUCUUCACAAUGAGAAAGAUAUCAAAAGCUCGGCCUACAACCAUAGGAGGAUUCCAGUUGAUAGUUGACAGUUAUCCCAGAGUUACUUAUGCUGAAUUGGUCCAAGGAACAAGUGGCUUUGCAGUAGACCACUUGAUUGGCAGAGGAAGGUAUGGAUCGGUGUAUAAGUGUUGUUUACUACUAAAAAAUAUGAUGACCACAGUAGCUGUAAAGGUUUUUGAUCUUCAACAGUCUGGCUCUUCCAGAAGCUUUUUAGCUGAGUGCGAGGCACUUAGUAAAAUCCGCCAUCGUAAUUUGGUCAGUCUCAUAACUUGUUGUUCAAGCACUGACUCGAACCAAAACGACUUCAAAUCCAUUGUGUUCGAGUUCAUGCCUAAUGGGAGCCUGGAUAGGUGGUUACACAUGGAUGUACAUGUAUCACAUCAACUUCAAGGCUUGACAUUGAUGCAGAGACUAAAUAUUGCAGUUGAUAUUGCUGAUGCACUAGAUUAUUUGCACAAUAACUGUGAUCCACCAAUAGUUCACUAUGACUUGAAGCCAGGCAACAUUCUUCUUAAUGAGGAUUUAGUUGCUCAUGUUGGGGACUUUGGCCUUGCAAAGAUUCUUUCUGAACCAGCAGCUAACCAACUGAUCAAUUCAAAGAGCACAGUUGGAAUAAGAGGAACAAUUGGAUACGUCGCUCCAGAAUAUGGCGAAGGUGGCCAGGUUUCUUCAUGUGGAGAUGUGUACAGCCUCGGAACUGUCAUCCUCGAGUUGUUUACAGGCAUGGCACCUACUCAUGACAUGUUCAGAGAUGGGUUGACCCUGCAGAAACAUGCCCAGAAUGCUUUUCCAGAGAUGCUAAUGCAGAUUGCUGAUCCAGUCCUACUGUCCACUGAAGAAGCCAAUACUAAUAGUUUGCAGGAUGGAAGCAACACAAUGGAACAUGCCAUAUUCUCUGUCAUGAAGGUUGCGCUAUCAUGCAGCAAGCAUGCACCGACAGAGAGAAUGUGCAUCAGAGAUGCUGCUGCUGCGAUUCAGAGGAUAAGAGAUGGCUAUGUUAAAGCAAGACAAAAUGAGGGGGUUGUUACAGCUGCAUUUACCGCAAGGCAUUUUGCUGAAACAUCCUGGGCAGCCCCUUGA
rnacentral:rRNA from 1 species